GGAGGCCAUGCACAACACCAAGCGCAUGGACUCUGACCCCAGUGCAGUGUCUGUAGGGAAGAGGAGCCAUGGGGCUUCGGGCAGGCCCCAUCCUGCUUCUGCUGCUGUGGCUGCUGCCAGAAUGCGGCCACUCCAAGGAGGCUGGGAGGAUUGUGGGAGGCCAAGACACCCAGGAAGGAUGCUGGCCAUGGCAGGUUGGCCUGUGGUUGACCUCAGUGGGGCACGUAUGUGGGGGCUCCCUCAUCCACCCACGCUGGGUGCUCACGGCCGCCCACUGCUUCCUGAGGGUGACUCCGGGGGGCCGCUGGUCUGCCCCAUCAAUGAUACGUGGAUCCAGGCCGGCAUUGUGAGCUGGGGAUUCGGCUGUGCCCGGCCUUUCCGGCCUGGUGUCUACACCCAGGUGCUAAGCUACACAGACUGGAUUCAGAGAACCCUGGCUGAAUCUCACUCAGGCAUGUCCGGGGACCGCCCAGGUGCCCCCGGGUCCCACUCAGGCACCUCCAGAUCCCACCUAGUGCUGCCGCUUGAGCUGUUGACCGUAUGCUUGCUUGGGUCCCUGUGAACCAUGAGCCAUGGAGUCUGGGAUCCCCCUUCUGGUAGGAUUGAUGGAAUGUAAUAAUAAAAACUGUAAGUUUUUUUAACGUGUAUUUUA
rnacentral:sRNA from 1 species